UGCCUGGUGGACUAGUGGCUUGCACACGGCGCUCUCAUUGCUGCGGUCCAGGUUCGAUUCUUGGUCAGGGAU